rnacentral:lncRNA from 1 species
UGUGACACUCUAGGGGCCCAGAGCAGUGACAGGCACCUCACUGAAGCCAGUGAGAAUGUUUAUCUGUUUCAAGGGAGCAGGAGGAGGUGGACAAUGGACCCUGUUAGAGAUGGGGCAGAUGAGCCCAGCCCAGACAGGAAGGAGGCAGGAGCAGGUCGUAAAUGUGUGCAGGGCUUCAGCAAAUCAGGCAGCAGGCAUUAAGCCAAAGGUCAGGCAGAGAAGAGCCUGUCCUCCAAAGCUUAAAGACUAAAUUAUCAGGGACCCACUUAGACUGAAGCCUGGAAAAUGGCCCAGGCAGACAGCUCUUGCUGUCUACUGAGAAAGAUAGUUAAGAGACAGGGCUCUGACAGCGAAUCAGCAGAAGGUCCUGUGGUCCUCUCGUCCACCCCAGUGACCGAGGAAGGAGGCCAGCAGGGCAGCUGCAGCCUAGGGGUGAGCUCUCCUUUCCCGGCCUAAGGGUGAUUCCUCCUGUUGGAAACCUGCACAGUGUGGGGGAUCUGGUGUGCAGGGGACAGGAGGCCACAUCAGUACCAAACGUCCCAGCUGCAGAAAACUAGUCUGGGCCUGAGUCAGCCACUUGGGGAAUGAAACCUUCAGUAUAACCCCCAGCUCCAUCUAACAUUCUGGCAGGUUAUUUAACACCACCUGAAAAGACAGGUGUCAGGUGGGCCAACAGGAAACAAUGUUCUUUGCCUCCUGGAUCACCCAGACUUUCAGAACAGCUAGCAGUUGGCUGUAGGAAUGGGUGCAUGUCCAUAUGAUUUGCUGAUUAUUUAAAAACACAUUAUUUAAAGAUUCUUAUAAUAAAUGCACAUAGGCAAUACUCUAAGACUAAAAAACAGUUAAAAAAAAACACGACAUUGAAUUUCUGGAUCACUCACCAUUUCCUCUUUGAUGUUAUUUUUAGCAAUAUAUACUAAGAGACUACAAAAAAAGAUUUUCCAGUUAAUCUCAGGGUCAGAUGAGUCUUGGCCUUGUGCAUUUCAAUGGUUUUAAAUGAGUCUACUCUUUUUUUAGGAAACUUUUUCCCACACUUGACAUAAUGAUGUUUUCUUAUGUAACCAGCUGGGGAGA